rnacentral:lncRNA from 10 species
GUCCCAACCCUGGCCAUGGCUGACAAGGGGCCCAGGGACACUGGAGCAGAGAGACCUGCUGGUCCUUGGGGUUUCUUGCAAGGCUGAUAGCGGGGGAACCUCUCUCACAGGGCUGCUACAAAGAUUGCAUGAGAUUUUGCUCAACAAAUAUUAGCUGUUGGCUCCAGAGUUUAAUACCUCUGAUCACUACAAGCUUUGAAGGCAAGAUAAAAUAACUUCAACAUAGUGAAUCAUCUGUGAACACUUCCUGUGAACGUGUGACUAUGAUUAUGGAACACUCUGUUGCAUCAAGAUGGCCAGAGAUUGUCUCAGAGUCCAGGCAGUGGGAGGAGGGGGGAUUUGUUUCCUGGCUGGGUG